UAAACACUUAAGUGAAAUUUUGUUUGCCCUGUAUCACCUUCACUCCCUCACUCAACACACACGAAGAAAUCAGAAAGCUAAGGGGGAGAACGGGAAGAAGAAGAGAGGAGAGGGAAGGAAGGAGAGAACGACGGCGGCUAACUGGCUAGGGAUCUGCCGUCGUCGUCGUCGAAUGCCAGUGAGAGAGAGAGAGCUCGAGGAAGAGAAAACGCAAUGGAGGAGAGAAGAAAGGGGUGCUCCGUCGCAGCUGAAGCUCCACCGCCGCUGCUAGGGCUUGUUGCCAUCGCCGUUCUGCCACCGCCAGGCUGAUGUACCGCCGCCGAGGAUCUCGAAUGGGAUGUCUCACCGCCGUUGUGCUCUGUCGCCGCGCUGCCAUCGACUGGAGCUCGUCGCUGAGUUGCUGCACCGUCUCCAAGCCGUUGCGUCGCCGCUCAUCUCUUCUUCACCGUCGCCGCUCAUCACCAUGGUCGUAUCCUCUGUCACCAGGUAAUGGAAGAUCUCUGUGAGCGCUAUUUUGACCCUAAUUAUUUGAACUUCUUUCACAUGAUAAGGUGAUAGCCGUAGCAGUAGCAAUUGGUGUUGAAAUACAUGCAAUUUUUCAUCUUUCUUGCGACUUCCUUCGCCUCCUUCGUGCAAGCCCUCAAAAGUACAAGCCACACCUUGGUUCAGUAGAAACAGGAUUAAGCUUCCUAAACCACUCAACAGUCUAACUAGCUUCAAUGCAUUUUGGUACUCACAUCAUCUCUUUGUCAUUGUCUAUGCCUUGUUGAUUGUUCAUGGAAUCAAACUUUUCUUUACCAAAGAGUGGUACGAGAAAACGGGGUCUGAUUUAGAUAGUUUAUUAGAGUAGAAUAAUGUAACAUCUUCAGCCAAAAUAAUUGUUGGCUCAACACCUCUGAAGCAGAAUCAGAAGCAUGAAGGUAGUGCAAGGAUUAUUAGAAGCACACUCUCAAACAAGGAAAUACGCAGAAGUCAGUCAGCUAGGCCUCAAUCGGAGCAGGCAAUACCAACAUCUGAUCUACAAAAAGAAAGACAACCACUUCGUCCUGUACAUGUGCAAUUGAUUUUGAAGAAAUUUAUUUUUAGAGAAAUAAAUUUUAUUUUUAGAGAAAUAAUUUGUAUUAUUCCCAAAUAGAAAAUCUUAUGGCUGUUAAUUUAUUAUGGCAACCGAAAUUUUGUUUUAGGAUAAUUUUUAUUAUUUAAAGA